rnacentral:rRNA from 1 species
AUUGUACGCUGGCGGCAGGCCUAACACAUGCAAGUAGAACGAGUGGCGGACGGGUGAGUAAUGUCUGGGAAACUGCCUGAUGGAGGGGGCUAACUACUGGAAACGGUAGCUAAUACCGCAUACCAUCAGAUGUGCCCAGAUGGGAUUAGCUAGUUGGUGGGGUAACGGCUCACCAAGGCGACGAUCCCUAGAUGUUAUGAGAGGAUGACCAGCCACGCUGGAACUGAGACCCGUGCCAGAUGCCUGCGUGCGGCAGCAGUGGUGAAUAUUGCACAAUGUGCGCAAGCCUGAUGCAGCCAUGCCGCGUGUAUGAAGAAGGCCUUCGGGUUGUAAAGUACUUUCAGCGGGGAGGCGUUACCCGCAGAAGAAGCACCGGCUAACUCCGUGCCAGCAGCCGCGGUAAGUC